CCUACGGGAGGCAGCAGUGGGGAAUAUUGGGCAAUGGGCGCAAGCCUGACCCAGCAACGCCGCGUGAAGGAAGAAGGCUUUCGGGUUGUAAACUUCUUUUCUCAGGGACGAAGCAAGUGACGGUACCUGAGGAAUAAGCGACGGCUAACUACGUGCCAGCAGCAGCGGUAAUACGGAGGUGGCAAGCGUUAUCCGGAUUUACUGGGUGUCACGGGGGUGUAGGGGGGACUGCACGUCAGAGGUGAAAACCACGGGCUCAACCUUUGGCCUGCAUUUGCAACGGUAGUUCUUGAGUACUGGCGUGGCAGCCGGACUUCCUGGUGUAGCGGUGAAGUGCGUCGAUAUUAGGAGGAGCACCAGUGGCGAAGGCGGUCUGCUGGACAGCACCUGACGCUGAGGCGCGCACGCGUGGGGAGCAAACAGGAUUAGAUACCCUUGUAGUC
rnacentral:rRNA from 1 species